CAGAGGCAAUAUAAGCACAUGCUAACUCUGAAAAAAUUAAAUAAAAUCAUGUAUUGAACUAUGGUCAGAAUACAGCCUUUGAACCGUACAAAGACGUUCAUUCUGUGGAAGAAAAGCAGCAUGCAAUCCAGAAUGCAAAAUCAUAAGUCUUCUCUGCAAAGGGCAGUGUAUGAGGUUUAGUCAGAAUAUUCCAGGAGUGUUUUUCCAAUGAAAAUUCUGAAGCAGAUUCCUUGUUAGAAACAUAAAACACCUGUAUGAUGAUGUUGAGGGACAGUUUCUCAGUAGGAGCAGGACUGAGUCACUGGAGAGCACAUGCAGAACUGAUGCCGUUCAGAAGUGUCUGCCUUGAGUGCAAGUGAGCUACAUCUUACAUGAGAAGACAUUGAAUUACGACAGUACAGCUCCCCAUUUUAUAUCAAGCCAAGAAGUAGAUUAAAUCUCUUUCUGUGCUUUGAGGCUUCCUCCAGUGCUUUGGUUAACAUGAGUAUUUGGAUGUGGGGUUAGUUCUCUAGCUCCAUUUUGCAAGUAUUUUACUUAACUUGGAGUCUAAGCCACCAAAGCAAGAUGUUCACUGGAAAUUCUGUUUGUGGUGGUAAAGAGGCUCAAAACUACAACCUCAAAGCAUUGCAAAGUUUCAACAGGUAGAAUAAACAGACUCCGAGAUGGGAUAAUCUGACUGCUUUGUUCAUCCUGAGCAGUGACCAAAGUGAAGAGACCAGGCUGAUACUUUACUAUAGCAGAUUUCUAGCAUCAGAAGUGACUUUUGUCUUCCCAGCAAAGUGUGGUACCCAAAGCACAUGGGCUCCUGGAGUGCAUCUUCCCCUCUGUAGCUUGACACAGAACUGGAGAAAGGGAAAGGGAAACAGGGGCUGGCACUACAGGAGUGUUUCCGUGCUACAAGAGAUUAAGCUGAGUCCUCAAAGUGACGUGGAAAUGGACCUAAGAGUGGUUUACAAAAUCAUAAUCAAGGGGCCAGCAAAUGCAGAAUAAACACAGUGCAAAAAGUAAGGAGCCCCAGGUGUAUACACUGUUAGGACGCAGAAUGCUAUAAAGACCAAGAAAACGAAAUAUUUCCAAGAGAAAUUGGACAAAAUCAUGGGAAGAGGCCCAUGAGGGUAUUGAAUAGAGUUAUGAGUUGAAUAGAAAUUGUUGCAUCUCCGGAGUUAAUGCUGACAGUGUUGGAACAAUGAUUCCUUGAAAGCCUUUCUUCUGAGCAAUAUAGGCUGAGAAAUUACCCCUGCUAUUCCAAUAGUUUUAAUGAAGUUGGCAGAUGUCAAUGGG
rnacentral:lncRNA from 1 species